rnacentral:misc_RNA from 1 species
GAUGAAGAACGCAGCGAAAUGCGAUAAGUAAUGUGAAUUGCAGAAUCCAGUGAAUCAUCGAAUCUUUGAACGCACAUUGCGCCCGCCAGCAUUCUGGCGGGCAUGCCUGUUCGAGCGUCAUUUCAACCCUCGACCUCCCCUUGGGGAGGUCGGCGUUGGGGACCGGCAGCACACCGCCGGCCCUGAAAUGGAGUGGCGGCCCGUCUGCGGCGACCUCUGCGUAGUAAUACAGCUCGCACCGGAACCCCGACGCGGCCACGCCGUAAAACACCCAACUUCUGAACGUUGACCUCGAAUCAGGUAGGACUACCCGCUGAACUUAAGCAUAUCAAUAACGGAGGA